GCAAGGGGGUCAUCCCGACUUACCAACCCGAUGCAAACUGCGAAUACCGGAGAAUGUUAUCACGGGAGACACACGGCGGGUGCUAACGUCCGUCGUGAAGAGGGAAACAACCCAGACCGCCAGCUAAGGUCCCAAAGUCAUGGUUAAGUGGGAAACGAUGUGGGAAGGCCCAGACAGCCAGGAUGUUGGCUUAGAAGCAGCCAUCAUUUAAAGAAAGCGUAAUAGCUCACUGGUCGAGUCGGCCUGCGCGGAAGAUGUAACGGGGCUAAACCAUGCACCGAAGCUGCGGCAGCGACGCUUAUGCGUUGUUGGGUA
rnacentral:rRNA from 1 species